rnacentral:rRNA from 1 species
GUGCCAGCAGCCGCGGUAAUACGGAAGGUCCGGGCGUUAUCCGGAUUUAUUGGGUUUAAAGGGAGCGUAGGCUGUCUAUUAAGCGUGUUGUGAAAUUUACCGGCUCAACCGGUGGCUUGCAGCGCGAACUGGUCGACUUGAGUAUGCAGGAAGUAGGCGGAAUUCAUGGUGUAGCGGUGAAAUGCUUAGAUAUCAUGACGAACUCCGAUUGCGCAGGCAGCUUACUGUAGCAUAACUGACGCUGAUGCUCGAAAGUGCGGGUAUCAAACAGGAUUAGAUACCCUGGUAGUCC